rnacentral:rRNA from 1 species
GAUGAACGCUGGCGGCGUGCUUAACACAUGCAAGUCGAACGAUGAAGCCCAGCUUGCUGGGUGGAUUAGUGGCGAACGGGUGAGUAACACGUGAGUAACCUGCCCUUAACUCUGGGAUAAGCCUGGGAAACUGGUCUAAUACCGGAUAGGAGCGCCUUCCGCAUUGUGGGUGUUUGAAAGAUUUAUCGGUUUUGGAUGGACUCGCGGCCUAUCAGCUUGUUGGUGAGGUAAUGGCUCACCAAGGCGACGACGGGUAGCCGGCCUGAGAGGGUGACCGGCCACACUGGGACUGAGACACGGCCCAGACUCCUACGGGAGGCAGCAGUGGGGAAUAUUGCACAAUGGGCGAAAGCCUGAUGCAGCGACGCCGCGUGAGGGAUGACGGCCUUCGGGUUGUAAACCUCUUUCAGUAGGGAAGAAGCGAAAGUGACGGUACCUGCAGAAGAAGCACCGGCUAACUACGUG